AGAGUUUCGACAGCAGGUGUUACGGGCGGAAGUGGUUAUUAUUGUGCUCACGGAAAGCUACCUGGAGUCCAAGGCUUCCCAACAGCAGGCGUGCUAUUGUCUCUUACGAAAGAAAGUGGUGGUUGUGGGCUGCACCGAAAAGGAAGUGCCAGUUUCAAUCCAGAAGCGCUUGCAAUUUGCGACUAUUGUGAACAAACGGGAAUCUGACGACUGGGAAGGCCAGUUGCUUGAGAGGAUUACCAGACUCUUGAAGCAACCUGAAAAACCAGUUUUUGAUGCAAGUUUGGAAGAAACGACGUAUUUGGUAUGCUUCCAUUGUGAUUGCUUCAUUUCUGUAGGAAAGAUGUUCCUAAAUUUUGGGUUUGCCGCAGAAAGUUUCCACAGACUUAUGUUUUGUUGCACAAGUGUCG